rnacentral:snRNA from 1 species
AGCUUUGCUCAGUGGCAGUAUCAUAGCCAAUGAGGUUUAUCCGAGGUGCCAUUAUUGCCAAUUGAAAACUAAAACGUGUAGUUUCUCAGACUUCAGGAAGCCUAUGAAAGACAAUCUGUAAAUUGUGCUGUAAAGCU